rnacentral:rRNA from 1 species
AUUGAACGCUGGCGGCAGGCCUAACACAUGCAAGUCGGACGGUAGCACAGAGAGCUUGCUCUCGGGUGACGAGUGGCGGACGGGUGAGUAAUGUCUGGGGAUCUGCCCGAUAGAGGGGGAUAACCACUGGAAACGGUGGCUAAUACCGCAUAACGUCGCAAGACCAAAGAGGGGGACCUUCGGGCCUCUCACUAUCGGAUGAACCCAGAUGGGAUUAGCUAGUAGGCGGGGUAAUGGCCCACCUAGGCGACGAUCCCUAGCUGGUCUGAGAGGAUGACCAGCCACACUGGAACUGAGACACGGUCCAG